AUUGAACGCUGGCGGCAUGCUUUACACAUGCAAGUCGAACGAGUGGCGGACGGGUGAGUAACGCAUCGGAACCUACCGGGUAAUGGGGGAUAACUGUCCGAAAGGGCAGCUAAUACCGCAUAUUAUUGGAUCGGCCGAUGUGUGAUUAGCUGGUUGGCGGGGUAAAGGCCCACCUAGGCGACGAUCUGUAGCGGGUCUGAGAGGAUGAUCAGCCACACUGGGACGGAGACACGGCCCAGACUCCUACGGUAGGCAGCAGUGGGGAAUUUUGGACAAUGGGCGCAAGCCUGAUCCAGCCAUGCCGCGUGUAUGAAGAAGGCCUUAGGGUUGUAAAGGACUUUUGUCGGGGAAGCGGUACCUGAAGAAGAAGCACCGGCUAACUACGUGCCAGCAGCCGCGGUAAUUC
rnacentral:rRNA from 1 species